GUUUGGGCUAAAUGAGUGAAUGUAUUGAUGUUGGCGUAAAAGAAGAAAGCUCAAACGCUAGGAAAUCGGAAGGCUCGCAAGAUCGAGGUUGGAGUUCAUGUAAGUGCAAAGAUGAAAGGAAUGUAUUCGCUCAUGGUAAACAGACCGAAUGGAAGUUUACGUUACGAAUGUAAUUACCCGUUUCUAACGGGUAAGUAAUGAAUGGUAAAUCCUCAACAUAAUGGCUUGGUGACUUAGAACAAACACACAUGAAUCAUGCCCACUUUGCGCUUCCGAAGAUGCCUAUUUUGUAUGGUCCUAGUUUUGGUCAUAUGUAUUUCCAACAUGUGUAAACUUUUUGUCGUCUUUGUGCUUUGGCAAAAACUUAGCUAGUUGGUAGACUUGUAUCUAGACAACUUAACUUGUCCGCUUUUGUUUUAAAAAGGUUGUUUAUGAAAUAGUUGGAAUGUUUAAAAA